CGCUUCCUGCCCCCGCCUUCCCUCCCCGCCCCAUUCUCUGUCCUAUUGAACACCUCGCCCAGCCUAGAGCUCACAUUCUCCCCCUGCUCCCGAUGGCGCUCCUGGAAGCUCUGCAACUAUGCUCCACUUCAAAUGGGAAGAAGAUGGACAAUGUCUAUACGCCAUCUUCAGUUGGUAACGCUGUGGCAGUUAGCAUAACCAGUGCUAGGCAAGAUUCAACCGCACUGGCUGCGGUAUGCGUGGCCAACCGGAGUGAGGACAAAUCCCAUUCCGUCUGAAGACUGUCUCCUGCCAGAGAUCAAAUGCAGCUCGCACAUACAUGACACCAAGCAGAACACACUAAGAGAUUUUCCAUGGCGGGAGCUCGGCACUCCUGGAGUGGGGUUUACUUUGUUCAGGCGUUGUGUUGGUAUUUGAGGAGACUGGCUACAACUCCACAAGGCGGUUGCUGAGGAUGGAGCCUCUGUGUAUCUCAGAAGACUGCAGUUCUUACUGCUAGGAGACUGCAUGGCUAGUUCCCUCUGAGUUAAGCUUCUAUUUUUGAAGCCCAGAUGCAAUAAGGAGGUGCCUAUGAUAGACACAGAAUACAAACCCCACACAGCUUAAAGCUGGCAGAUGUCUUCUGCAAAACGAUGCCACACCUUGACCCUGAAUGAGGAAGAAGGCAGGGAUCCAUAGGAUUAUCCGGAGUGGAAAACAUGGCUUCCACUUCUAAUUUGUUUUUUAAAAACGGAAUCAUACCUAUGAAUUUCUUAAUAAAAUAUCUUUCUUGUAAAA
rnacentral:lncRNA from 1 species